CCUGAUGAGUUGCUGCUGGCUCUCUAGGGAGUAUUGUGCACACUUGUCAUCUUUAUAUCUCCACCUGUGCACCUUUUGUAGACCUGGAUAUCUCUCUGAGUGCUUAGCACUUCAGGUUUGAGGAUUGACUUUAUUGUUCUCUCUUUAUAUUUCCAGGCCUAUGUUUCUUCAUAUACACAUUGUAUGUUAUAGAAUGUAGUAAUUAGGCCUUUGUGCCUAUAAACCUAUACAACUUUCAGCAACGGAUCUCUUGGCUCUCGCAUCGAUGAAGAACGCAGCGAAAUGCGUUAAGUAAUGUGAAUUGCAGAAUUCAGUGAAUCAUCGAAUCUUUGAACGCACCUUGCGCUCCUUGGUAUUCCGAGGAGCAUGCCUGUUUGAGUGUCAUUAAUAUAUCAACCUCUUCAACUUUUGUUGAGUGUUGGAUGUGGGGGUUUUUUGCUGGCCUCUCUGAGUUCAGCUCCCCUGAAAUACAUUAGCGGAACAAUUUGUUCAUUGGCGUGAUAAUCUAUCUAUGCUAUUGACAUGAAGCAGUUCAGCUUAUAACAGUCCAUUGAAUUGGACAAAUUUUAUCUAUUAAUGGACCUC
rnacentral:rRNA from 1 species